rnacentral:misc_RNA from 1 species
CAUAUUGAUGUAGAAACUAAGACAAAUUAAAUUAAGCCACAAGAAAUCAUGCCUUGAUACUCUUGAAUCAUUAAUGCGUACAUCAUUACUAAAGCAACUAGGCUAUCAACAUAUCAUGAUACGUUGUGGAUUGACUCCAGAACAUGCACCAGCCAAAUGGGAAGUAAUAUAGAAGUUGACGACUGCUUCAUUAAACAAGUCAAACAAUAAUAGUUGCUUCAAAAACUCUAAAUCAAUCCUACAGUCCCAUUUAAUCAAAUUCUCCUGCAACAAUAAUAACCGGAAUAUGUUUAUAACCUUUGAAGAUUAAUGUUACCAAUCACCACUGAUCCCAUUUGUUUAUGAAGUCAUUCCACAUAGCUGCUGCAAUUGACUCACGCAAUGAGAAAGCAAUUUGCUCCUGAAUGGAGGAAGCCAACUGCAUUUCAGGUUGAUCGUGAAAAUCAGGCAAUUCUUCCACUGCUACCCCAUCAAUACUAGCAAACAGCCAAUCAUUUCUUUCCUCACAUCGGAUGUAAUUAUGUAAAACACAUGCAGCAAGUACUAUAUCCCUUUGGAUAUGAAAUCCAUACUGAGGGGCAACUUUGAGAAUGGGAAAUCGAUCUUUCAGCACACUAAAAGACCUCUGGAUGACAUUCCUAAGAGAUGAAUGUCGGUGAUUGAAUAGUUCCCUUGCAUUUCUAGGUAACUGAUUAGCACCUCUAAAUUCAUGAAGGUGAUAACGAACUCCUAGAUAUGGAGCAAUAAAACCUUCCAUAUUUGAGUACCCUGUGUCAACUAGAUAAUAUUUUCCUUCAGGUAUAUGUGGGAAAUUCUGAUCUGGAUCAUCAAGGACUGCUCUCAAUACACGUGAAUCUGCAGCAGAGCCUUCCCAACCUGGAUAAAUAAAUAUAAACUGCAAGUCAAAUGUGCAUGCUGCCAAAACAUUUUGAGAUAUAACACCUUUCCCAUUACGAAAUCGAGAUUGGUCUUUGGCUGGUACAUGUGCAGGAACAUGCAUUCCAUCUAUGACUCCAAUACAAUCCUUAAAAUAUGGGUAAAACCGACUACUGCAGAAAAUUUCUGGAGGAGUUGCAAGAGGCGGUGGUUGCAGGAAUUCACGUGAAAGUGACUUAAUUGCCUUCAACACAUUAUUGAAAUGUCGGCUUAUGGUUUCCCCUGAGUGUUGAAACCGUUCUUGGAUUACUCUGUUACGCUCAUUAUGACCAAUGAUGUUUAAGAAAAUUGCUAGCUGUUCCUCUAUCAUAACACCAGCAGUAUCACGUAACAUGCCUCUCUGUCGAAGAGUGUUACAUAACUUGUGAAAGACAUGUUUAUCCAUCCGAAACAUUUCCCGACAUAAAUCAUCAUGCCCAUCCAGCACUUCAGUCAUAAAGCCACUUCCACUGGGCAAGGAACUGCGACAAGGCAGCCUGUUUAUACUGUUAUAAUAGUAAUAGCCAGCAGCAGCUGCAACUAAUUCCAUCUCGUCCAAUUCUAAGUCAAAGUCGUCCAUGCUAGUUGAAGUAUCUGUAGAAAUUGAAUUAAAAUGCAGAACAUAUAACACAAAUUCAAGUAGUUAAAUUUGCAGAUAUAGACAAAUCACUUGAAUGCAUUUCUAUCACAAUCAAAAGUUAGCAUCCUUCUCUCUGGACCAAGGUGCUGGAGAGGCAUAACCAAAAAUGGAAAGUUAAAGUGUUCUGUAUCAUUUGAGAUUAUAAAACUGAUGAAACGGCCACCAACUAUAAAGAAAAACUAGUUACAAAACGUAUGAAUUCCUCAAGUGUACUAUGACCAUACAGACCCAUACCAUAAAAUGAACUACACAACUAAUAAGCUCUCUUAAGUCUUAAUCUAUUCAACUAGAGGAAGCAGUGCACUUUCCCUGCAACCAUGGUAAUCGUUUCUCACUCUUGAGAGAUAUAAAUGUUUCCCUGGAAUUGGGGUUCUCAAAUAAAUCCAAGGCAAAAAAGUAAAUCCGUUGAUCAACACCUUGCAUCUCAUCCAAGACUUUAAUGCAUUUGCUUAUGGAAAAGCGAUCCUCAUUCUUCAUUAUUGCAGAAGCCCUCAUUUUAGAAGCAGCUGCAAUUUCAAGCAUAGCAUCCACAAUAGCAUCACCAGUAGCCUUGCGACUCCUCUUGUGACGACCAGAACUUGAAGGUGUCACAGACUGACGCUUAUUGUGUCCAUCCAACAUGUUUCCAUCAUCACCGGAACCAGAAGAAGCAUCCUCAUCCAGGAAAGCCAUUGGUGCAGCAGGAUCAACAGACAUGAUGAGAGUUUUUAACUGUCCACUUUAGAACGAAAGAAAAUCGAGUUUCUUCUGGAUUCUCCGUUCGUGGAAUUUAGGAUUGAACAAGGUUACGCUUGAGGGGAUUCUCUUGCGGGAAGUCGAGUUAUUAUGAAGGAUCUAGAUCCUGAUAAUCCUAUUGGCCAUCCAAAAUCUCUUUCGUCAUAGAUAGGAAGUGAGAAUUAGAGAGGUUCACAGAGAAGCUGCGGACUGUCUUUCUAAGCAUGCUUUAAUUUUGCUUCUACACCUCCAAAGACUUGCAAAGUUCUUUCCAAGGAUUUGAAGGAGUCUCUCCCACGCAGGUGUCUUGGGUAGUUCUUUUCAAGCCCUGGCAAGAAAGAAUGAAAGAAGAAAUUUUGAAAAUAA